rnacentral:rRNA from 1 species
AAUGAACGUUGGCGGCAUGGAUUAGGCAUGCAAGUCGAGCGAGAAGGGUUUUGAAGCUUGCUUUAGAACCCGGAAAGCGGCGCAAGGGAGAGUAACGAGUAGUUAUCUACCCCAAGGCCCGGAAUAGCUGCGGGAAACUGCAGGUAAUGCCGGAUAAUAUCCCCGGAUCAAAGGUGUGAUUCCGCCUUGGGAGGAGACUGCUUUGUACUAGCUAGUUGGUAGGGUAAUGGCCUACCAAGGCUACGAUGCAUAGCGGGCGUGAGAGCGUGGCCCGUCUACCUGGGACUGAAACACUGCCCAGACACCUCCGGGUGGCUGCAGUCGAGAAUCUUCGGCAAUGGGCGAAAGCCUGACCGAGCGAUGCCGCGUGCGGGAUGAAGGCCCUCGGGUUGUAAACCGCUGUCGUAGAGGAGAAAGGUCUGAUGAAGAAUCAGAUUUGAUCUAUUCUAGGAGGAAGUCGGGGCUAAGUUCGUGCCAGCAGCCGCCGUAA